GACGAACGCUGGCGGCGUGCUUAACACAUGCAAGUCGAACGGAAAGGCCCUGCUUUUGUGGGGUGCUCGAGUGGCGAACGUGUGAGUAACACGUGAGUAACCUGCCCUUGACUUUGGGAUAACUUCAGGAAACUGGGGCUAAUACCGGAUAGGAGCUCCUGCUGCAUGGUGGGGGUUGGAAAGUUUCGGCGGUUGGGGAUGGACUCGCGGCUUAUCAGCCUGUUGGUGGGGUAGUGGCCUACCAAGGCUUUGACGGGUAGCCGGCCUGAGGGGGUGACCGGCCACAUUGGGACUGCGAUACGGCCCAGACUCCUACGGGAGGCAGCAGUGGGGAAUAUUGCACAAUGGGCGGAGGCCUGAUGCAGCAACGCCGCGUGCGGGAUGACGGCCUUCGGGUUGUAAACCGCUUUCGCCUGUGACGAAGCGUGAGUGACGGUAAUGGGUAAAGAAGCACCGGCUAACUACGUG
rnacentral:rRNA from 1 species